rnacentral:rRNA from 1 species
GCUCAAAUUUGAAAUCUUAAAGGGUUUCCCUUUACGAAUUGUAGUUUAAAGAAGUGUUUUCUGUUGAGGUUUUGGUAAAAGUUCUUUGGAAUAGGACAUCAUAGAGGGUGAGAAUCCCGUAUUUGACCUUUACUUUCAACUUUGUGAUACACUUUCAAAGAGUCGGAUUGUUUGGGAAUGCAGUCCAAAAUGGGUGGUAAAUUUCAUCUAAAGCUAAAUAUUGGCGAGAGACCGAUAGCGAACAAGUACCGUGAGGGAAAGAUGAAAAGAACUUUGAAAAGAGAGUUAAACAGUACGUGAAAUUGUCAAAAGGGAAGCGUUUGACACCAGUGUUGUUUUCCUGAAAAUCAAUUAAAGAACUGUUUAUGCUAAGCUGUUUAGACUUUAUCAGCUAUCUGUUUAGUUUUGAGCUUUUCUUUAAUGCACUUUUCAGUUAACAAG